rnacentral:other from 1 species
GGGUUGCUGUGGGAUGCGUAAAGCGAGCAUUUCCCUGGGGCCAUAAAUUCCUUAUGGGAGCUAUUCCUACCUUAAUCCGUGGAUUUUGGUAUAUGGCGCCCACCUGCACAUGCGGGCCACAAGAGGAUAACAAUCGCUAACGGUCUUUUCGGCGCCCUC